rnacentral:tRNA from 1 species
UCCCUGGUGGCUUAGACAGUAAAGUCUCUGCCUACAAAGCGGGAGACCUGGGUUCAAUCCCUGGAUUGGGAA